rnacentral:rRNA from 1 species
GACGAACGCUGGCGGCGUGCUUAACACAUGCAAGUCGAACGGACAGGCCCUGCUCUUGUGGUGUUCUCGAUUGGCGAACGGGUGAGUAACACGUGAGUAUCCCGCCCUUGUCUUUGGGAUAACUUCAGGAAACUGGGGCUAAUACCGGAUAUGAGCUCCUGCUGCACGGUGUGGGAUGGAGAGUUUCGGUGUUUGUGGAUGGACUCGCUGCUUAUCAGCUGCUUGGUGUGGUAGUGGCUUACCAAGGCUUUGACGGGUAGCCGGCCUGAGAGCGGUGACGGGGACAUUGCGACUGAGAUACGGCGCAGACUCCUACGGGAGGCAGCAGUGGGGAAUAUUGCACAGUGGGCGGAAGCCUGAUGCAGCAACGCCGCGUGCGGGAUGACGGGCUACGGGUUGUGAACCGCUUUCGCCUGAGACGAAGCGUGAGUGACGGUAAUGGGUAAGGAAGCAACGGCUAACUACGUG